rnacentral:lncRNA from 1 species
ACAUCGAUUCCAGACCAACUGAAUAGAACCUUAGGAGAUAUUAUAGCAUGGGACCAAUUAUUAAAGACGCGGGAAUCUCUUUUUUCUUUAACUAUCACGCAAUUGGAAGGAGAGGGAUAUAUUUCAAAUUAUCUCCAAUGUUCAAGUGGAUAAUGGAACAAUUAUUUUUGUGAUGGAUUUUUAAUGACUAAUUCGUUUGGUAGAUAUAUUAUUUUAGUAAAAAGAAGAAGAAAAAG